rnacentral:tRNA from 1 species
GGAUUGUGACUCAGUGGCAGAGAGUUCGCCUAGCAUGUGCGAGGCCCUGGGUUCGAUCCUCAGCACCA